rnacentral:rRNA from 1 species
AGGGGGAGCAGAACCAACAGGGAUUGCCUCAGUAACGGCGAGUGAAGCGGCAAAAGCUCAAAUUUGAAAUCUGGCCCUCUCAGGGUCCGAGUUGUAAUUUGUAGAAGAUGCUUCGGGUGUGGUUCCGGUCUAAGUUCCUUGGAACAGGACGUCAUAGAGGGUGAGAAUCCCGUAUGUGACUGGGUACCUACGCUCAUGUGAAGCUCUUUCGACGAGUCGAGUUGUUUGGGAAUGCAGCUCUAAAUGGGUGGUAUAUUUCAUCUAAAGCUAAAUAUUGGCCAGAGACCGAUAGCGCACAAGUAGAGUGAUCGAAAGAUGAAAAGCACUUUGGAAAGAGAGUUAAACAGUACGUGAAAUUGUUGAAAGGGAAGCGCUUGCAAUCAGACUUGCACCUGGUGUUCAGCGGGGUUUCGUGCCCCGUGUACUUCAUCAGGUUCAGGCCAGCAUCGGUUUGGGUGGUUAGAUAAAGGCCUUGAGAAUGUGGCCCUCUUCGGGGGGUGUUAUAGCUCUCGGUGCAAUGUAGCCUACCUGGACCGAGGACCGCGCUUCGGCUAGGAUGCUGGCGUAAUGGUUGUAAGCGACCCGUCUUGAAACACGGACCAAGGAGUUGAAUAUCUAUGCGAGUGUUUGGGUGUUAAACCCCUACGCGUAAUGAAAGUGAACGGAGGUGAGAACCCUUUAGGGUGCAUCAUCGACCGAUCCUGAUGUCUUCGGAUGGAUUUGAGUAAGAGCAUAGCUAUUCUGACCCGAAAGAUGGUGAUCUAUACGUGAAUAGGGUGAAGCCAGAGGAAACUCUGGUGGAGGCUCGCAGCGGUUCUGACGUGCAAAUCGAUCGUCAAAUUUGCGUAUAGGGGCGAAAGACUAAUCGAACCAUCUAGUAGCUGGUUCCGCCAUUUUUUCCUC